rnacentral:rRNA from 1 species
AGAGCGACGCGAAGCCGCGAGGUGGAGCAAAUCGCAAGAAAUCGUCCUCAGUUCGGAUUGGAGUCUGAAACCCGAACUCCAUGAAGGUGGAAUCGCUAGUAAUCGCGCAUCAGCAUGGCCGCGGUGAAUACGUUCCCGGGCCUU